AUUGAACGCUGGCGGCAUGCCUUACACAUGCAAGUCGAGCGGCAGCGCGGGGGCAACCCUGGCGGCGAGCGGCGAACGGGUGAGUAAUACAUCGGAACGUGUCUAGUAGUGGGGGAUAACCUGUCGAAAGAUAGGCUAAUACCGCAUACGAUCUACGGAUGAAAGCGGGGGACCGCAAGGCCUCGCGCUAUUGGAGCGGCCGAUGUCGGAUUAGCUAGUUGGCGGGGUAAAAGCCCACCAAGGCGACGAUCCGUAGCUGGUCUGAGAGGACGACCAGCCACACUGGAACUGAGACACGGUCCAGACGCCUACGGGAGGCAGCAGUGGGGAAUUUUGGACAAUGGGGGCAACCCUGAUCCAGCCAUGCCGCGUGGGUGAAGAAGGCCUUCGGGUUGUAAAGCUCUUUCGGCGGGGACGAAACGGUUCGUGCCAACACCACGGACUAAUGACGGUACUCGCAGAAGAAGCACCGGCUAACUACGUGCCAGCCGCCGCGGUAA
rnacentral:rRNA from 1 species